UGCAGAUGGAGCCGUCCAGCGGAGUCGCCGGCACCGGAACGUCGACCACCCCAGGUGCUUCUCGAGGCAGCCGGAGGAGUGCUGCUGAUGGUCAAUAAAUGUUCAGAGUGUUGUGUUGCAACACGAACCAAUCUUUUUCAUGUGUAAUUGAUCAAAGUGGGUUUGUGAUCACAAUGAUGGCUUGAUGACUGAAUCUGGUUGAUGGAUUCAUGUGAUGAUGAUUCUUUCGCGA